rnacentral:rRNA from 1 species
ACGCUCGACACCUACGAGAGGCAGCAGUGGGGAAUAUUGCACAAUGGGGGAAACCCUGAUGCAGCGACGCCGCGUGAGUGAAGAAGUAUUUCGGUAUGUAAAGCUCUAUCAGCAGGGAAGAAGAUGACGGUACCUGAGUAAGAAGCCCCGGCUAACUACGUGCCAGCAGCCGCGGUAAUCUGAGCGGCUGGCAAGGC